rnacentral:rRNA from 1 species
GCAGUCGACGGUGAUGGGGAGCUUGCUCCUCUGAUCAGUGGCGAACGGGUGAGUAACACGUGAGUAACCUGCCCUUCACUCUGGGAUAACGUCGGGAAACCGGUGCUAAUACUGGAUAUGACCUGCUCGGGCAUCCGAUGUGGGUGGAAAGAUUUAUUGGUGGAGGAUGGACUCGCGGCCUAUCAGCUUGUUGGUGAGGUAAUGGCUCACCAAGGCGACGACGGGUAGCCGGCCUGAGAGGGCGAUCGGCCACACUGGGACUGAGACACGGCCCAGACUCCUACGGGAGGCAGCAGUGGGGAAUAUUGCACAAUGGGCGAAAGCCUGAUGCAGCGACGCCGCGUGAGGGAUGAAGGCCUUCGGGUUGUAAACCUCUUUCAGCAGGGAAGAAGCGGCCGGGUUUUCUUGGUUGUGACGGUACCUGCAGAAGAAGCACCGGCUAACUACGUGCCAGCAGCCGCGGUAAUACGUAGGGUGCAAGCGUUGUCCGGAAUUAUUGGGCGUAAAGAGCUUGUAGGUGGUUUGUCGCGUCUGUUGUGAAAUUUCGGGGCUCAACCCCGAACUUGCAGUGGAUACGGGCAGACUAGAGUGUGGUAGGGGAGACUGGAAUUCCUGGUGUAGCGGUGAAAUGCGCAGAUAUCAGGAGGAACACCGAUGGCGAAGGCAGGUCUCGGGGCCAUUACUGACACUGAGAAGCGAAAGCAUGGGGAGCGAACAGGAUUAGAUACCCUGGUAGAAUCACUAGUGAAUUC